AAAUCACUUGAACCCAGGAGGCAGAGGUUACAGUGAGCCAAGAUCACGCCAUUGCACUCCAGCCUGGGCAACAAGA
rnacentral:snRNA from 1 species